rnacentral:rRNA from 1 species
CCUACGGGAGGCUGCAGUGAGGAAUAUUGGUCAAUGGCCGGAAGGCUGAACCAGCCAUGCCGCGUGAAGGUCAGUGCCCUAUGGGCGGUAAACUUCUUUUGUGCGGGAGCAAUAAUGGGCACGUGUCGCCAGACGAGAGUACCUGAAGAAAAAGCAUCGGCUAACUCCGUGCCAGCAGCCGCGGUAAUACGGAGGGUGCGAGCGUUAAUCGGAAUUACUGGGCGGAAAGCGCGCGUAGGCGGUAUGUCAAGUCAAGGGUGAAAUCCCCGCGCUCAACGUGGGAACUGCCUUUGAAACUGGCAAACUGGAGUGUUUGAGAGGAUAGUGGAAUUCCAGGUGUAGGAGUGAAAUCCGUAGAUAUCUGGAGGAACAUCAGUGGCGAAGGCGACUAUCUGGCACAUAACUGACGCUGAGGAGCGAAAGCGUGGGGAGCAAACAGGAUUAGAUACCCCAGUAGUC